CUCGUGGCCACGCGCGAGGGGACUCACCAAUAAGAAUGGGCUUCGCGCCACGCCCCUCCCCGCUGCCUCCUUCUGCAAACUGGCGACCCCGGUUACUUGGCCGCGGAGCUCCCUAGGGAGAUCGGUUUCCGUCAGGCGAGAUGAAUAGGAAAACGUUACUUUUGCUGUGUUUCCUCAAUGACUUUCAAGUUAAGGAAGCACCUAAGCAUUUCUAUUUUAGAUUUAUGGAGGUUGAGAAGUACAUCCUCCAUUGCCUUUCUAAGCAAGAACUUUCAGAAUCUAUCUUCUCACGACGAAGAAAGGUGCAAAGAAAACACAGCGAGAGCACCCAAGGUGUUAAAAAAAAAAAAAAAACCUAACAAAACCCUGGCUUUUCACACUGGCAGUCCGGAUUCAAACUCAGUCGUAACUCCCGCUUACCAGCAGGGUAGGCUUGAGUACAUUUGCCCUCUUUGGCCUCCGUGAGCUUAUUUGUGAUACGAAGAUCGUGGAUGAGGAGAAUCAUAAACAUCAGUGUGGAGGAUCAAACGCAGGGCCUUUCCUUGAGCUUGGUAGUGAUGCCUCAGGCUACCUUGGCUGCAACAGACAUCCCACCUGGCUUUUCUGGAGGACCUGGGAGAGACACCACUUUCCAGGCUUCCUAGGACUGCUGUCUCCUCUCUUCUGGAGCAAAGACAGUCCCCUGCUGCUGCUGUUGCCUUAAGUAGAAUGUAACAGGCUUCAGUUCACACCAACAACUCAGGCUUCCCUGCCAAAAUUCAUUCCAUGCUGUUGGAAAAACUCCACCCCUGGUACAUUCCUGUGGCAAAGAACAUGACUACUUGAUAGCAGAUUCCAAACUUUUUGAUAAUGCACAUUUCCC